rnacentral:rRNA from 1 species
GUGGGGAAUAUUGGACAAUGGGCGAAAGCCUGAUCCAGCCAUGCCGCGUGUGUGAAGAAGGUCUUCGGAUUGUAAAGCACUUUAAGUUGGGAGGAAGGGUAGUAACCUAAUACGUUGCUACUUUGACGUUACCGACAGAAUAAGCACCGGCUAACUCCGUGCCAGCAGCCGCGGUAAUACGAAGGGUGCAAGCGUUAAUCGGAAUUACUGGGCGUAAAGCGCGCGUAGGUGGUUCAGUAAGUUGGAAGUGAAAUCCCCGGGCUCAACCUGGGAACUGCUUUCAAAACUGCUGAGCUAGAGUACGGUAGAGGGUGGUGGAAUUUCCUGUGUAGCGGUGAAAUGCGUAGAUAUAGGAAGGAACACCAGUGGCGAAGGCGACCACCUGGACUGAUACUGACACUGAGGUGCGAAAGCGUGGGGAGCAAACAGGAUUAGAUACCCGAGUAGUCC